GACGAACGCUGGCGGCGUGCCUAAUACAUGCAAGUCGGACGAGCGGCGGACGGGUGAGUAAUGUCUGGGAAACUGCCUGAUGGAGGGGGAUAACUACUGGAAACGGUAGCUAAUACCGCAUACCAUCAGAUGUGCCCAGAUGGGAUUAGCUAGUAGGUGGGGUAACGGCUCACCUAGGUGACGAUCCCUAGCUGGUCUGUGAGGAUGACCAGCCACACUGGAACUGAGACACGGUCCAGACUCCUACGGGAGGCAGCAGUGGGGAAUAUUGCACAAUGGGCGCAAGCCGGAUGCAGCCAGGCCGCGUGUGUGAAGAAGGCCUUCGGGUUGUAAAGCACUUUCAGCGGGGAGGCGUUACCCGCAGAAGAAGCACCGGCUAACUCCGUGCCAGCGGCCGCGGUAAUUC
rnacentral:rRNA from 1 species